CGUUGGUUGCCUUCAGUCACACGAAUGUUUCACCACCAAAAGGUUUCAAGUGUUAAUCUCGAGUCGGAAAUUCUACUUCAAGCUGAGAGAGUGAUCCGAUUACUGCUGUCGGUAACUUUUAUAUUAUUUUCUCUUUUGAAGUUGCGAUCGUGUUCCCGCUCCGCCGUGACGUUCAUGUUGACACAGGAAUUUGCAAGUUUUCUUUUUCUCCUUCGUUAAGCAUUAUUUCCUUUUUAAAACGAAAUGAACUUAAGAAAUAAAAGAUAUAAUGACAUAACAUACCCACUUUUUAGGUCUUGAAAAAAGAAAAUCAACACUAGCACCACCACUACCACCACCACCAUCACCACCACCACCGACUCUGGCAUCAUCCCAUUGUUAGUGUUGCAAUCACGCGAACAGAAAAUACAAGUGCAAUGUCGUAAUGGGGAAAAGGAGGCGACGUGUCGGCGAAGUUACUGCCGGACUAAUCAGCGACACCAACGACAGCACACGCACAAAAAGGCAAACAAACAAACAAGCAAACAUACAAACAAGAAAACAAACACAAGGAGCUCCACCUCCACUACCACCACCACCAACACCACCACCAACACCACCUCUCCUUGCCCCUCAUCAAGAGCAACACGAGCGGCGGCCACAGAACUAUCGAGGCACGAGGAAGCAGACCACGCCGUUGGUAAAGCUUACUGAUGCAUCCAUUCUCGAGCUCACCGGCGUCAGCAAGAAACUAAACAUCCCCGCGAGGGUUUACAGCGUGUAGCAGCGCACGUUGGUUUCAGGCUCAGGGCAGACAACUUCAGGAAACAGUCUGCUGAUAUUACUAUUUUCCUGAUGCAUCAAGAUCCAAAGUAUUUAUUUUAUAAUUAUAUACAGUUUCGAUUUAUUUAUAUAAAAGUAACUGAUAUUUCUAAGCAUAAAUUAUUAUUUAUUUCUACAAAGAGAACGGCCAGCCGAUUAUAUGUAAAUAUUUGUUUUCUUUUGAAGAGGCCGAUACGGAAAGAUAAGGCGUACGACACAACCACAUGUCAAUUGGCAAUAUUACGCCUUUGUUGUUGAACGCUAUAAAUAUAUGAAUAACAUGAAUAACAUUACCCAGCAAAAGCGUUAGAAUAAAAAAUAAAUCAACAACCACAGCCCACGGCGCUGAGAUAACAAAGAGGAGCGAUGAGCCGGCGUGACCAGACUAACACCGGCGUGGCCGAGAAGGUGCGGGCAGGCAGGUGUAGCAAACAAUAAAACUCCCCUCCCUUC